CGGCAACAGGUUUGAAUCAUUGGGCUUCAGAUUAUAAUUCCGGACCGCCGUGGGAAGCACUAUCGCAGAAGUGCUAGUGGUCCCAAUAACUGGCCUGGAAAAAUCUCCCAUGUACUGGACAUUCUGCUCCGCCAUUGCUUCUUGGUCAGGAUUAGGCCGAGCUUCUUCUUUUUUCUUCUUCAGAAUGCACUGAAGGCGUAUCCUCAACGGCUUCCAGAAUGGGGUUGGAAGCGAUUCUCUCUUCACGGUCUUCCUCUCGAGACUGUGAUUCCACAAGGUUUCUCGAACUGGACUCGGACUCCUUCUCCAGGCUUGAAAGAACCUCCCG
rnacentral:lncRNA from 1 species